AGAAAAUAUUUGCAGUCUAUAUGUUUGCAGUACUCAUAUAGUAAGAAUGAACAUUGGUAAUAAAAGCAUUUGCAUUUCUUUCAGAACCUGUGAACUAAUUUGAACCUGAGUCUGUAUCCAUGUUCCAUCAGGCUGGCAACAGAUUCAGCAUUAUUCAAACUCCUGUCUCUGAACUUUUUAUGCAAAAGUGCCAGAAAUUGCAAAGCUCCGAUGAACCCAUUCUGGUUACCCCAAAGCCAACCCUACUUUCCAUUGGAACCUCUGCUGGCUCACAAAGACCUUUUGUCUCAGGAGUUCUGUGAUUCGGUGGCACUUACAAGGCAAGGAUAGUUAUGUCUGUGCCUGGGACCCAACCAGGCCCCACACCCCAAUUCAGGACCGCUGACACCAAAGUUCUUUUCCCCUUCUACUCCUAAAUUCUACCCAGCCUAGAGCACAGCCCUCCUUUUUCCCCCUUUGCAACCAUUAGAUCUUUAUUUUCUCCUCUCCUUCUCUGGGAUACCAUGUAUAAACUCUUUAGUGAGUUUAUAUUUUUAUUCAAAGUAGGAAAAGAAUUUGCUUCUUGUAACUUCUACUUGACCAUGCAAAUUUCUUUGAAGAAAGGAACUGUAAAAUCUUGAGGCUAACGUCUGAGACUGAGGACAAGGAAAAAUGUGCAGGGCAAAACACAAAUCAAUAUUUGCAUAAGUCAUUCUGUCACAAUAUCAAGUCAUUGAAAAUAUAAUCAUGUUUAGAGGGGAAAGCAUUUGUAUUUAUUUUAUUAUAUUAUUAAAUAAAGGCUUUAUUGAGAUAUAAUUUCUAUACUGUACAAUUAACCUAUUUAAUGUGCAUGUUUUUAUUUUAAUAGUGAGUUUGAAUAAAGGCAAAUUUAAUUAGAG
rnacentral:lncRNA from 1 species